AUUGAACGCUGGCGGCAUGCCUUACACAUGCAAGUCGAACGGCAGCACGGGUGCUUGCACCUGGUGGCGAGUGGCGAACGGGUGAGUAAUACAUCGGAACGUACCUUAUCGUGGGGGAUAACGCAGCGAAAGUUGCGCUAAUACCGCAUACGCCCUGAGGGGGAAAGCGGGGGACCGUAAGGCCUCGCGCGAUUAGAGCGGCCGAUGUCUGAUUAGCUUGUUGGUGAGGUAAAAGCUUACCAAGGCGAUGAUCAGUAGCUGGUCUGAGAGGACGAUCAGCCACACUGGGACUGAGACACGGCCCAGACUCCUACGGGAGGCAGCAGUGGGGAAUUUUGGACAAUGGGGGCAACCCUGAUCCAGCAAUGCCGCGUGAGUGAAGAAGGCCUUCGGGUUGUAAAGCUCUUUUGUCAGGGAAGAAACAGUAGCUCUAACACAGUCUGCGAAUGACGGUACCUGAAGAAUAAGCACCGGCUAACUACGUGCCAGCCGCCGCAGUAA
rnacentral:rRNA from 1 species